GACGAACGCUGGCGGCGUGCCUAAUACAUGCAAGUAGGACGAGUCGCGAGCGGGUGAGUAACGCGUGGUAAGCUACCUAGUAGUGGGGGAUAACUACUGGAAACGAUAGCUAAUACCGCCUACUAGUAGAUGUACCUGCUUUGUAUUAGAUAGUCGGUAGGGUAAAGGCGUACCUAGGAAAUGAUACAUAGCCGGCCUGAGAGGGUGAUCGGCCAAACUGGGACUGAGACACGGCCCAGACUCCUACGGGAGGCAGCAGUGGGGAAUAUUGCACAAUGGGCGCAAGCCUGAUGCAGCCAUGCCGCGUGUGUGAAGAAGGCCUUAGGGUUGUAAAGCACUUUCAGCGAGGAGGCGUUACUCGCAGAAGAAGCACCGGCUAACUCCGUGCCAGCAGCCGCGGUAAUAC
rnacentral:rRNA from 1 species